AAGGAUACCCAUUUUUAUCAUUUGCCAUUCAUGUCUUACUGGAAGUACUAGCAAUAGCUAUUAUACAAGAAAAGGGGCAUCCGCAUUGGAAAUGAAGGGGUAAAGCUACCUCUAUUCACAGAUUAUGUGAUCUAAUCUUUAGAAAAUCCAAAGGAAUCCACAAGAAAGCUAGUAGAACUAAAAAGCGAGUUCUUCAUAAUUGCAGGGUACAAAUGAAAACAAAAAUCAGAUGUAUUUCUGUACACCACCAACAAUCUAAAAAUGAAAUUAAGAAUGGAAUUCCAUUUAUAAUAAUAUCUAAAAGUUUAAAUCCAAGGAGAGAAAGGAAAUCUUGGGGAGCUGCCGUCUGCACCUCCAUGACCAGCACAGCCAUGCAAGAGUCAACAGGAGACCCAGGCCAUCACCCCAUCGCUGCUGCUUCUAUCCACCUGCUUCCACGUCCUUGAAUUCCUUCCAACAGCUUGCUAAAACAUGAUGGAUUACUAUGAAGUUCUAUGCAUGCAAAGACAUGCUUCAGCCAAGGAUAUUAAAAAGGCUUAUUGGAAACUGGCAUCACCAUAGUACCCAGAUAAAAAUCUUGAGAAGAAAAAGGGGAGAGAAAAUUCAAAUAGCCAAGGUGUUUGAGGUGUUAUCACAUAUUAAAAAAAUGGGACAUCUAUGACAGAUAUGCUAAAAAACAAUUAAAUGAUGGAGGUGGAAGUCAUUUUGACAGGCCAUUUGAGUUUGGCUUCAGAUUCCUUAAUCCAGAUGUCUUCAGGGAAUAUUUUGGUGGAAGAGACUUUUUUUAUUUAACCUCUUUGAAGACCCACUUGAGAACAUAUUUGGUCAUUGCAGGGGCCCCAUGGAAACAAAAGCUGGGUCACAGGGUCAUUUUUCUCUGCCUUAAGUGGAUUUCCAUCUUUUGGAGGUGGAUUUUCUUCUUUUGACCCAAAUUUACAUUGUUCAGUUCACUACGUCAUGGGGGCCUCACUUCAUUCUCUUCCAUGUCAUUUGGUGGUAGUGGGAUGGGCAACUUCAAAUCUAUGUCAACUUCUACUAAAUUAAUUAAUGGCAGAAAAAUCACUACAAAGAGAAUUGUCAAGAAUGGUGAAGAAAGAUUAGAAGUUGAAAAAGAUGGCCAGUUAAAGUCCUUAACAAUAAAAUGCAAGGAGCAGCAGCUAUGCUUGGAUAAGGACUAAUUGCAUGCAUUUAACUGAAAUAUUAAACUAUAAAUAUAGGAACAUUUGUUGAAGAUUUGAAAUGAAUUCAACUUCUAGUAUAACUGUACCUAAUGUAAAGUAUUUAUAAACAGUUCACUGGAGCCCCUAUUUGUCAUAUGCUUUCGAGUUUAUUGUUGGGACCACAUAACAGUUCCAUAACUUUUUGUCUUUAAAAUUGUUGUAAAUCUGUAUAUGCACAUUGCUUUUCUAUUAAAUGUAAUCUAAGGUGGCUUUGAUUCUUUUGUACACUAACACCAGCAAAGACCUUCUUUUGCAUUGUGUUUGAAACAUGAGCCAAGUAGUGUCAGUCUGCUGUAAAGUCAGUAUUGCCAGGAUGAAUCUUACACACACACACACAAAUUCAAUUUUUUUCAGUAUUUAGUAGUGAAAGACAUUAAUGCAUUAAUAGUAACACUUUUGAUUUAAUAUAAAUUGAGGAUGUUUUCUACUUGUGCAUGAAUGCUGGCAACUUAGUACAUUUUGACAAUUGUUUAAACGUAAUUACAAGCUUAGGUUUAAAAAAGUAAAGCUGGUAAGCUGGGUCUUUGUCAUUUGCUUUAAAAAAAGAAUGGAAAUGUGAAUGUGUUUAAUGCAUUCCUUCCUCAGUGGGACCUGUAAAAACUUAAUUAAUUUAUGAAUUAAAUUCUCAGUAAUAAAUUUAGGCAAAAGGCUAGUACACCAAAAAUUAUAAAACAUUUUGCUGAGAGAAUCCUUGUGCAUUUCUGGUGGGAAUGUAAAAAGGUGUAAUUGCUAUGAAAAACAGUUUGGCAAUUUUUCAAAAGGUUCAGUAUAGAACUACCAAAUGACACGGCAAUUCCACUCCUAGGUUUAUAUCCUAAAGAACUCAAAACAGGAACUCAGAUAUUUGUAACAAGUUUCAUAGCAGCAUUAUUCACAAUAAUCAAAAGGUGGAAACAACCGAAGUGUCAAUCAACAGGUGAAUGGAUAAACUAUAUGUGGUAUAUUCAUACAAUGGAAUAUCAUUCUGUCAUAAAAAGGAAUUACAUUUUGAUAUAGGAUAUACCAUGGGUAAACCUUGAAAACUAUGCUUAGUGAAAUAAGCCAGAUACAGAUGAAAAUAUAAUAUUGUAUCCUUUCACCUUUAUGACAUGCCUAGAAUAGGCAAAUUCAUAGAGACAGAAAGUAGAACAGAGAUUACCAGAGGCUGGGGGCAAGGGAUGGGGUUAGAAGCUCAGGUUUUUGUUUAAUGUGCAUGGGGGUUUGGUUGGGAUGAUGGAAACGUUUUGGGUAUUGAUUUAGUAGUGAUGUUUACAAAACAUUGUAUAUUUAAUGCCACUUACAAAUGAUUAAAAAAUUAUGUAUAUUUUACCAC
rnacentral:lncRNA from 1 species